rnacentral:lncRNA from 1 species
UCAUAGAGGUUUGAGCUACCAUAAAUAAACUUCCGACAGACUCCUCUUCAUCUUUCUCUAUGUAAUUUGCUUGUUGAGUAGGAUUUUCUUGUGCUUGAUUCUAUUUUACUCUGCAAUUCUUCUCAAUAUGUCCAAGUUUCUAGCAGAAUCUGCACUGGAUUGGAGGUUUGCCUUUGAACCAACAAUCCUUUUCUUGAUGAUUGGUUCUGUUGCAGAAUUUGUAAGAAAUUUUUUUUUUUAUCAGAAUCCGAUACCAUUGCUACGGCUUUUUCCUUAUCAUCUCUUCUUUCCUUCUUUCUUGACUUGCUUUCCUUUUUGUCUUGUUUGCAAAGCCCCUUCUACAACU